UCGGGAAUUUUGCGCAAUGGGCGAAAGCCUGACGCAGCAACGCCGCGUGAGGGAUGAAGGCCUUCGGGUUGUAAACCUCUUUUGUCAGGGAAGAUAGUGACGGUACCUGGCGAAUAAGCCACGGCUAACUACGUGCCAGCAGCCGCGGUAAUACGUAGGUGGCAAGCGUUGUCCGGAUUUACUGGGCGUAAAGAGCGCGCAGGCGGUCGUUCAAGUCGAGUGUGAAAUCCCCCGGCUCAACUGGGGCGGGUCACUCGAUACUGAUCGACUCGAAGGCAGGAGAGGGAAGUGGAAUUCCCGGUGUAGUGGUGAAAUGCGUAGAUAUCGGGAGGAACACCAGUGGCGAAAGCGACUUCCUGGCCUGUUCUUGACGCUGAGGCGCGAAAGCUAGGGGAGCAA
rnacentral:rRNA from 1 species